GUCAACAUUUUUCAUAUUUUAUGAUCUUAUGGAUAUAAAACACUCUUUCUAUAGAUGAUGAUGUCAUCAAUUUUUUUGGCAACUCUUCUAUCAACAGACAUCUAUUUUAAACAACACAUCUUUUUAAGAGACACAAUGGCAACUCUUCUUUCAACCGUCAUCUAUUUGAAACAACACAUCUUUUUAAAAAACCCAAAUCAUACAUUUUCAUCUAAACAACACAUCCUUUAACCAACAUACAUUUUCAUAAUUUAUUUAAACAUUCAACCCAAUAGUCAGAAUUAUUUGUUUUUAUCAUCUAAAAGACAUAAAACACUUUCGUUGAAUUCACUAUUGUCAGCCAAAAAAUUAUAUUUGACAAAACUUUCUUUAUUUAUUUAAUUAAUGUGUCCUUUCACAAACAUAAUUUUUCCUAAUUUUAAGUAUUUUUUAUAUAUCGAAGCAACACAUCCCUUAACAAACAUACGUUUUCAUUAUUAUUUAAAACAAUGCAUCCCUUAGCAACAUAAAUUUUCCUAAUUAAAAUAAUUUUUCAAAAAAAUCUGAAGAGAUACAAUCCGACGGCCGUAAUUGUUUGUUUAAUUAUCUAAUGGUCCAAAAUUAUUUUGGUGUAUUUCUUAAGUCGUAUCGCAACUUUUUCUGAAGACUUUUCAUCUGAAAAAACACACACCUUCUAGAGUUGUCCUUGAUGUACCUUUUCAUGAUCUAUAUAUUGAACUUUUUACAGCAAAAAUCUAUUAAAAAUAUACUUGGUUAUUCAUCUUCUAUUUCAUUUUCUGUAUUUGUUUUUGAUCUCUGUCAAGAGCCUUUCAUUCCAUUUGUUUAAGAUCAGUUAAUACAAAACCACUAUUGCAUAAACUAUCGCAAGCGACCUUUGUUGUUGUCGCCAGGACGUUAGGAUUCUAAAAUCAGAUUGCAAGUCUCAUUUUAAAAGGUCUCAUUUUGAUCUCCGUGUUGUCUCCUCCACGUCUCCAUCAUUUGGAUCCAUUUCGUUGGAUUUUGAUGGCACGGCUGCUUCUUCCGGUAGUUGUGUCCGGUGACGACAACAACGGUUGUUCUUCCUCAACCAAAAAAAAGCCAAUAGAUGAAGAGUAGAUGGGAGAGAGCGAUGGUGAAGUCUGUAUUAGCAUUAAACAUAAACAAACGUUUUGGGUGAAAUGAGAUGACUGGAAUGAAACAAAGGCUAAUGGUUUCACGUGGGGCAAUGGGUUUUUGGUUCCAAGAGGAUUUGUAUAACUCAAUGAUUUACAAUGGUGAAAAUACUCAGAAAAUGUUUAUUACUCAUUAACCAACAAAUUCACGCUUCGGGUUA